AGUCAACGCAAGGAGGCAGACAUGGGAAGAACCUACCCUCUCAAUGUCCUGGUGGUUGGUAUUGCGUUUGUGUUCGUCGCUUCGAUGUUGUUCAUCUAGACGCAUUCCAAAACAACGCAUGCAACCGGUGACCGGUGAUACCUCGGACUGACCGUUUGAUAAUCGGCAGCAUUACAAAAGCGCAUGUUCCCGCAUGGAACAUGCGCUUU
rfam:Rhizobium sp. Leaf306 contig_2, whole genome shotgun sequence.